rnacentral:rRNA from 1 species
UACGUAGGGUGCGAGCGUUGUCCGGAAUUAUUGGGCGUAAAGGGCUCGUAGGCGGUCUGUCACGUCGGGAGUGAAAACUCGGGGCUUAACCCCGAGCCUGCUUCCGAUACGGGCAGACUAGAGGUAUGCAGGGGAGAACGGAAUUCCUGGUGUAGCGGUGAAAUGCGCAGAUAUCAGGAGGAACACCGGUGGCGAAGGCGGUUCUCUGGGCCUUACCUGACGCUGAGGAGCGAAAGCGUGGGGAGCGAACAGG